CCUACGGGAGGCAGCAGUGGGGAAUAUUGGACAAUGGGGGCAACCCUGAUCCAGCCAUGCCGCGUGUGUGAAGAAGGCCCUCGGGUUGUAAAGCACUUUCAGUGAGGAAGAACGCCUGGUGGUUAAUACCCAUCAGGAAAGACAUCACUCACAGAAGAAGCACCGGCUAACUCCGUGCCAGCAGCUGCGGUAAUACGGAGGGUGCGAGCGUUAAUCGGAAUUACUGGGCGUAAAGCGCGCGUAGGUGGCUUGAUAAGCCGGUUGUGAAAGCCCCGGGCUCAACCUGGGAACGGCAUCCGGAACUGUCAAGCUAGAGUGCAGGAGAGGAAGGUAGAAUUCCCGGUGUAGCGGUGAAAUGCGUAGAGAUCGGGAGGAAUACCAGUGGCGAAGGCGGCCUUCUGGACUGACACUGACACUGAGGUGCGAAAGCGUGGGUAGCAAACAGGAUUAGAUACCCUUGUAGUC
rnacentral:rRNA from 1 species